GACGAACGCUGGCGGCGUGCUUAACACAUGCAAGUCGAACGAAGUGGCGAACGGGUGAGUAACGCGUAAUCAACCUGCCCUUCGGAGGGGGACAACAGUUGGAAACGACUGCUAAUACCGCAUACUGAAGGAGGGGAUUGCGUCUGAUUAGCUAGUUGGAGGGGUAACGGCCCACCAUGGCGAUGAUAAGAAGCCGGUCUGAGAGGAGUACCGGCCACAAUGGGAAUUGGACACGGCCCAGGCUCCUACGGGAGGCAGCAAGGGGGAAUCUUCCGCAAUGGACGGAAGUCUGACGGAGCAACGCCGCGUGAGUGAUGACGGCCUUCGGGUUGUAAAGCUCUGUUAAUCGGGACGCGGUACCGGAAUAGAAAGCCACGGCUAACUACGUGCCAGCAGCCGCGGUAAUUC
rnacentral:rRNA from 1 species